rnacentral:rRNA from 1 species
CAGUCGCCGCGGUAAUGCGUUGGGUGCAAGCGUUAAUCGGAAUUACUGGGCGUAAAGCGUGCGCAGGCGGUUUGUUAAGACAGAUGUGAAAUCCCCGGGCUCAACCUGGGAACUGCAUUUGUGACUGGCAAGCUAGAGUGUGGCAGAGGGGGGUGGAAUUCCGCGUGUAGCAGAGAAAUGCGUAGAUAUGCAGAGGAACACCGAUGGCGAAGGCAGCCCCCUGGGCCAACACUGACGCUCAUGCACGAAAGCGUGGGGAGCAAACAGGAUUAGAUACCCCUGUAGUCCCUGUCUCUUAUAC